rnacentral:rRNA from 1 species
AACACAUGCAAGUCGAACGGGUGUAUUAGUUGGUUCGCCAACAAAAUGCAUCAGUGGCAGACGGGUGAGUAAUGCAUAGGAAUCUGCCUGACAGUACGGAAUAGUUACUAGAAAUGGUGAGUAAUACCGCAUACGCCCUGAGGGGGAAAGAUUUAUCGCUGUCAGAUGAGCCUAUGUUGGAUUAGCUAGUUGGUAGGGUAAAGGCCUACCAAGGCGACGAUCCAUAGCUGGCCUGAGAGGGUGAACAGCCACACUGGGACUGAGAUACGGCCCAGACUCCUACGGGAGGCAGCAGUGGGGAAUAUUGGGCAAUGGGCGAAAGCCUGACCGAGCCAUGCCGCAUGAGUGAUGAAGGCCUUCGGGUUGUAAAGCUCUUUCAGUGGGGAAGAUAAUGACGGUACCCACAGAAGAAGUCCUGGCUAACUCCGUGCCAGCAGCCGCGGUAA